UACGUAGGGGGCAAGCGUUGUCCGGAAUCAUUGGGCGUAAAGAGCGCGUAGGCGGCCCUGUAAGUCCGCUGUGAAAGUCAAGGGCUCAACCCUUGAAUGCCGGUGGAUACUGGCAGGGCUAGAGUCCGGAAGAGCGAGUGGAAUUCCAGGUGUAGCGGGUGAAAUGCGCAGAUAUCAGGCAGGAACACCGAUGGCGAAGGCAGCUCGCUGGGACGGACUGACGCUGAGGCGAGCGAAGACGUGGGGAGCAACAGG
rnacentral:rRNA from 1 species